rnacentral:rRNA from 1 species
GAUGAGCGCUGGCGGCGUGCCUAAUACAUGCAAGUCGAGCGAACGGACGAGAAGCUUGCUUCUCUGAUGUUAGCGGCGGACGGGUGAGUAACACGUGGAUAACCUACCUAUAAGACUGGGAUAACUUCGGGAAACCGGAGCUAAUACCGGAUAAUAUUUUGAACCGCAUGGUUCAAAAGUGAAAGACGGUCUUGCUGUCACUUAUAGAUGGAUCCGCGCUGCAUUAGCUAGUUGGUAAGGUAACGGCUUACCAAGGCAACGAUGCAUAGCCGACCUAAGAGGGUGAUCGGCCACACUGGAACUGAGACACGGUCCAGACUCCUACGGGAGGCAGCAGUAGGGAAUCUUCCGCAAUGGGCGAAAGCCUGACGGAGCAACGCCGCGUGAGUGAUGAAGGUCUUCGGAUCGUAAAACUCUGUUAUUAGGGAAGAACAUAUGUGUAAGUAACUGUGCACAUCUUGACGGUACCUAAUCAGAAAGCCACGGCUAACUACAUG